UACGGAGGGUGCAAGCGUUAAUCGGAAUUACUGGGCGUAAAGCGCACGCAGGCGGUCUGUCAAGUCGGAUGUGAAAUCCCCGGGCUCAACCUGGGAACUGCAUUCGAAACUGGCAGGCUAGAGUCUUGUAGAGGGGGGUAGAAUUCCAGGUGUAGCGGUGAAAUGCGUAGAGAUCUGGAGGAAUACCGGUGGCGAAGGCGGCCCCCUGGACAAAGACUGACGCUCAGGUGCGAAAGCCAGGGGAGCGAACGGG
rnacentral:rRNA from 1 species